rnacentral:lncRNA from 1 species
GAUGACUUGAAAUAAAUGAAAGCCCAAAGCCCAAACAACACAAAGAGGGCCGGCCACUUUAGGUGAAAGGGAGAGAUAUUUAGUCAAGUUGUUGACUAGGUUUCUUUUGUCUAUAUAAGGAACUUUAUAGCACAAAGUUCAUAAGGGUUUUUUGUGUGUUUAAAACAACAAAGAGGCAAAAGAAAUAUCUCUCUAAAACACUACAAAGGCCGGCCACCUUAGGGGGUGUUUUUUACUAACACAUUUUUCACCCUUUUGGUUAUUCCUCCAUCCAUCUCACUACACUAGUGGGUGUGGAUCUUUAGAGGUUUUCUACUUUGGAAACUUGGAGAGAACCUAGGAGCACUCUUACUAACAAAGUGGAGGAGGCAAGGAGGGAGGCUAGGCUCAAGGACUUCAAGGAGCAAAGGGCUUGGAGGUGGUCCAUCCUUGGUCUAAAGUCUAGAUCAAGAGGUAUAAGAUCUAUUCCUUGUUCUUUGUUCUUAAGUUAAAGGAUUUGAUGCAUUAUAUAUAAACCUAUAAACCUAGAAGGGGAUUUGCAUGACUAUAGCUUUGAUAUUAUGUGUUAAAUGCUUCCGCUAUUUUCGUAUAUAAAAUUUGAUUUGUAUAUGCAUGAUAGUCAUUUUCGAAAUCCCAUAUGAAAACUCAUAAUUUUCCCUUCAAGUGGUAUCAGAGCCAAAGGUUUAUGUAUAAUGUGUCCUUUUGGAUUUUAUGCAUAUGGGUAUUAAUGUUAUGUAUGACAUAUUAUUGUUUCAUUCAAAGUAUGUUUAUCUUUUGUUUUUCAAUAGUUGAAAAAUGUUAGUCAAAAGUUGAGAAAGAUAUGUAUUCAAAAGAUGUUUUGUAUGCAUGAAUGAAAAAUGAGUUUAGAACUAGUUUGACAUAUUAUUUCUUCAUUUAAAAGUAUGUUUAUCUUUUGUUUUUCAAUGGUUGAAAAAUUAUAAAUCAAGAGUUGAAAAAGGUAUGCAUGUAAAAAGAUGUUUUGUAUGCAUGAAUGAAGAAUAAGUCAUGAACAAAAUUUGGGGUGUUGUUCUUUGUGGUUGGCACGGUUUUGGGGGUUUUUUGAGCAUGUGUUUGUGUUUUAUUGUAAGACACUCACAUAUCAUUUUAAAGCUAGAAAGUAGAAAUCUUGUCACUUUUGUUUUUGGGUUUGAAAAUCACCAAGAAUACACAAAUCUUGAAAAAGUGUUCAUGGUUUUGUUCUUGGUGUUCAUAGUUUGGUUUUGGGUGAAAAUGGUUUUAUUUGGUUUUCAUGCAUGGUUUUAUGGUUUUGGAUGAUGUUCUUACCAUCCAUAACUAUAUUAAAACUUAUAAAACCCUAGACUUGUCUAGGAGAUUUCCAUCACCUUUCUCAUUAAAGCCUUUUAAUGCCAAAACCAAGUGACAUGCAAAAUUUGGAUUUUUCUACUUUGCAUUGAAUUAAAGCAUGUGGGUGAGACUUCCCACCCCCCCCCCAUUAAUUGGCCGGCUACCCUAGUGGAUUUAUCCACUUGGGGGGUUUUUUGUAAUUUGAAAAAGAUAUUUUAUACUUUUGAGUAUUUACGGUUUGACCCCUAACUUUUUCAUAUUUGCAUUUAGGCCCCUACUAACUAGAAA